CCCACGGCUGUCUCCGCAGCGGCGGGGAGCAGCGGGCUGCGGGCCUGGGCGGAGACCUCGCCGCUUGCGCCCUGCGGACACACUGCUUUCUGCAGGCACUGGUCCCAGAGAAACGGCGUUAACGGCAUUUUACGUGUUUGAUCCAGAGGGCGAAGGACACAUCAGCAACGACUACGAAGUAUACUUCUGUGUUUGGUUCUUGAACCUUAACAAAAUCGUGUUGUUAUGUGCCAGGCAACUAAGAAGUCUGGAUUAUGUUUCAUAUUCUCUCAUAAAAUUAAGGAAUCUGAAUCUUAGCUGACUGCUCGUUAGUGCCAUCAUUUUCAAAUCCUUGCACAAAGUUAAACAUACGCAGUGAAAGGGUAAGGAUAUCAUUAAACUCCCUGGAAGCUAACUGCCUGUGCUAUUUUCUGCUGCUCAGGCCACAGUAGCAAGAACUCUGAGAGACACUUGGAGCAUUACAAAUGAGAGGUCACUGCUGGGUAGAACAGACGUUCUGGUCUUCCCCUACUGAUGCAGCAGGCAACUUGGACUACACGUCGUGAUGCUACACCAUCACACAUGGAGAAGAAAAGGAGGAGUAAAUGGCACCAUGUCGUUACCUGGAAUUAAAUCUCAAAUUGUAAGCAUUGAGAGAUCUGUGUGUUUUCUUCUCGCCACAAAAACAUUCAU